GGUCUACUGCCCUUUGUGCUGAUGAGAACACGAAGCCCCAGAGGAGGGGAGUCAGUUCAUAAAGCCCUCUCAGCUACUGUGGAAAAUCGAAGCCCAGCUCACUAAUUUCCUACCUAGAGAAAGAGUAAAGACAGCUUUGGAGAAAGACAGACCUGGAUUCAAAUGCAGAUCUCUUCCUUACUAGAUGGGCAUGCUUGGGUGAAGUGAAGUGGGUGUGCCUGGGAUCACACACAGCUGUGCAAUACCAAGUGACAUGGGACUUAUACAAAGGCAGCACCACUAGUCAUGCUGGAAGUUUCCCCAAGAAGCAGGGAAAAUUCAUGACGUGAUAUAUAAGAAAAAGUUGAAUUGCUUGAUAUGGACCAUUGAUUGAGGUCUGCAGCUGCAGUUGCUGCCAUCUUAGACCGACUGUUCAUCUUGUAAACUUACAGAAUCAAUAAAUACGGUACAGUACUCGAAACA
rnacentral:lncRNA from 10 species